rnacentral:rRNA from 1 species
AGACAGAGGGUGCGAACGUUGUUCGGAAUUACUGGGCGUAAAGCGCGUGUAGGCGGCUAUGCAAGUCGGGUGUGAAAGCCCUGGGCUUAACCGAGGAAGUGCACUCGAAACUGCAUAGCUCGAGUCCCGGAGAGGAUGGUGGAAUUCUCGGUGUAGAGGUGAAAUUCGUAGAUAUCGAGAGGAACACCGGUGGCGAAGGCGGCCAUCUGGACGGGUACUGACGCUGAGACGCGAAAGCGUGGGUAGCAAACAGGAUUAGAAACCCCGGUAGUCC